rnacentral:rRNA from 1 species
UACGUAGGGUGCGAGCGUUAAUCGGAAUUACUGGGCGUAAAGUGUGCGCAGGCGGUCGUUCAAGUCGAGUGUGAAAGCCCCCGGCUCAACUGGGGAGGGUCACUCGAUACUGAUCGACUUGAAGGCGGGAGAGGGAAGCGGAAUUCCCGGUGUAGUGGUGAAAUACGUAGAUAUCGGGAGGAACACCAGUGGCGAAGGCGGCUUUCUGGCCCGUUCUUGACGCUGAGGCGCGAAAGCUAGGGUAGCAAACGGG